CCGUGUCUCCACUGCAGAUAGUACCCCCUCAAUGUGGGCGGGAUCCUCAGGUGAUCGCGGUAGCAGCGCUGCGUAAAGCUGUCGUCACAUCAUCUUCAAUGGGACACUCGCUGAAAUCAUUUCAACAGCAACCAAACAGAGGAACUUCGUCCAUUAGCUGAAACCACACAACUACAAAAGUUGCAGUCCAGCCUCAUUUGUCGGUGGGUCUCUCAAACAAUCAACCGGCUACAGGUUUAGAACCAAAACUUGCAAAAAUCUGCUUCAGUUUCUGGAUCACAGGCAUGACGGACAACAGUAAGGAGGUCAAAGGCAGCAGCAUCCAAGAACAAGAGAAAUCAUCAGGGAAUGAAAAAGGAG